rnacentral:rRNA from 1 species
UCUGGAAACUNUCUGACUUGAGUGCAGAAGGGGAGAGUGGANUUCCAUGUGUAGCGGUGAAAUGCGUAGAUAUAUGGAGGAACACCAGUGGCGAAAGCGGCUCUCUGGUCUGUCACUGACGCUGAGGCUCGAAAGCGUGGGUAGCGAACAGGAUUAGAUACCCUGGUAGUCCACGCCGUAAACGAUGAGUGCUAGGUGUUAGGCCCUUUCCGGGGUUUAGUGCCGGAGCUAACGCAAUAAGCACUCCGCCUGGGGAGUACGACCGCAAGGUUGAAACUCAAAGGAAUUGACGGGGGCCCGCACAAGCGGUGGAGCAUGUGGUUUAAUUCGAAGCAACGCGAAGAACCUUACCAGGUCUUGACAUCCCGAUGCUAUUCUUAGAGAUAGGAAGUUACUUCGGUACAUCGGAGACAGGUGGUGCAUGGUUGUCGUCAGCUCGUGUCGUGAGAUGUUGGGUUAAGUCCCGCAACGAGCGCAACCCUUAUUGUUAGUUGCCAUCAUUAAGUUGGGCACUCUAGCGAGACUGCCGGUAAUAAACCGGAGGAAGGUGGGGAUGACGUCAAAUCAUCAUGCCCCUUAUGACCUGGGCUACACACGUGCUACAAUGGUCGGUACAACGAGUUGCGAGCCGGUGACGGCAAGCUAAUCUCUGAAAGCCGAUCUCNGUUCGGAUUGGAGGCUGCAACUCGCCUCCAUGAAGUCGGAAUCGCUAGUAAUCGCGGAUCAGCACGCCGCGGUGAAUACGUUCCCGGGCCUUGUACACACCGCCCGUCACACCACGAGAGUUUGUAACACCCGAAG